AUUGAACGCUGGCGGCAUGCCUUACACAUGCAAGUCGAACGGCAGCACGGAGCUUGCUCUGGUGGCGAGUGGCGAACGGGUGAGUAAUAUAUCGGAACGUACCCUAGAGUGGGGGAUAACGUAGCGAAAGUUACGCUAAUACCGCAUACGAUCUAAGGAUGAAAGUGGGGGAUCGCAAGACCUCAUGCUCGUGGAGCGGCCGAUAUCUGAUUAGCUAGUUGGUAGGGUAAAAGCCUACCAAGGCAUCGAUCAGUAGCUGGUCUGAGAGGACGACCAGCCACACUGGAACUGAGACACGGUCCAGACUCCUACGGGAGGCAGCAGUGGGGAAUUUUGGACAAUGGGCGAAAGCCUGAUCCAGCAAUGCCGCGUGAGUGAAGAAGGCCUUCGGGUUGUAAAGCUCUUUUGUCAGGGAAGAAACGGUGGGAGCUAAUAUCUCUUGCUAAUGACGGUACCUGAAGAAUAAGCACCGGCUAACUACGUGCCAGCAGCCGCGGUAAUACGUAGGGUGCAAGCGUUAAUCGGAAUUACUGGGCGUAAAGCGUGCGCAGGCGGUUUUGUAAGUCUGAUGUGAAAUCCCCGGGCUCAACCUGGGAAUUGCAUUGGAGACUGCAAGGCUAGAAUCUGGCAGAGGGGGGUAGAAUUCCACGUGUAGCAGUGAAAUGCGUAGAUAUGUGGAGGAACACCGAUGGCGAAGGCAGCCCCCUGGGUCAAGAUUGACGCUCAUGCACGAAAGCGUGGGGAGCAAACAGGAUUAGAUACCCUGGUAGUCCACGCCCUAAACGAUGUCUACUAGUUGUCGGGUCUUAAUUGACUUGGUAACGCAGCUAACGCGUGAAGUAGACCGCCUGGGGAGUACGGUCGCAAGAUUAAAACUCAAAGGAAUUGACGGGGACCCGCACAAGCGGUGGAUGAUGUGGAUUAAUUCGAUGCAACGCGAAAAACCUUACCUACCCUUGACAUGGCUGGAAUCCUUGAGAGAUCAGGGAGUGCUCGAAAGAGAACCAGUACACAGGUGCUGCAUGGCUGUCGUCAGCUCGUGUCGUGAGAUGUUGGGUUAAGUCCCGCAACGAGCGCAACCCUUGUCAUUAGUUGCUACGAAAGGGCACUCUAAUGAGACUGCCGGUGACAAACCGGAGGAAGGUGAGGAUGACGUCAAGUCCUCAUGGCCCUUAUGGGUAGGGCUUCACACGUCAUACAAUGGUACAUACAGAGCGCCGCCAACCCGCGAGGGGGAGCUAAUCGCAGAAAGUGUAUCGUAGUCCGGAUUGUAGUCUGCAACUCGACUGCAUGAAGUUGGAAUCGCUAGUAAUCGCGGAUCAGCAUGUCGCGGUGAAUACGUUCCCGGGUCU
rnacentral:rRNA from 1 species